AGCAAAAAAUAAUGUAAUAUGCAUCGAUGUAAUUGAUGCCGAUGUACCGAUUCACCGAUGUAAGCGUGAUUUUCAGAUACAAAAUCACUUCGGUGCGAUGCUAUAUUACAUCGGUCUUGAAAUUACACAGAAUCAGAACCAUAAAUUUUCUUUACACCAAACCUGUGUAAUAUUCAUAUCAAGAGAUUGUCAAUAUUACACAAAAACAGCUGCAACCAAUUGGUUAUGCUGACCGUGUUUAAAAUUACACAGAAACGAUGCCUUAUCACACUCGCUCUGGUGCAAUAUUAAAUCUAGCAACACUUCCAGCGUUUGUUUUGUUAUGUCGAUCAAAAUGGCUGUCCGCCGGUCGCGGUUUCGUCGAAGUUGUGCGGUUUUUGAUUCGUCUGCUGCCACUCGAGUUUUUCGAAAAGUUUGGCCUGGAAUCACCUCAUCAGUCGCUGCACACCUAUCAGAAGUUAAGAGUGCAGCUAGCAUGAAAAGCCGGAAGACCUAACUCCCGAGAGAGAUACCGCUAGGUCCUGCACCUGCACCCCCUUGAAAGACCACCAAGUUCGAAGCCAUAGGAUCGAAAUCGGAUAAGCAACUUGAAGGAUCCCCAUGACGCGUUUGACCUGCGAAAUGCCUGAGGCGAAAAUCCGAGCUGGGCAUCUGGAGGUCUCGGGAUCUGCUGCAACUGAGAACCUAGAACAGGAGCAUCUAUUCUUACCGGAUCAUACACCUUUAGCUGUAAUGAUGGAACCAAUGCGCGUCGCUCUCGGAAAUAACAUCACACAUCGUCACCUAUUCAUAUGGACGGGGGCGGUUGCUUUUCGAUGGCAAUAUCCUUUAGAGCAGACAUCGCAGCCGUUUCUCCGAGAAUGUAAUCCCCAUUCCCGUGGAUCUGUAAAAAAAAAACUUGGAGACCGAAUUUGAGAGAAGUUACACGGAUUAUCUGAGCCGACGAAGUAAUUACGGAUUCAGUGGAGAACACCGAUAGCGAAACAGGUAUAAAUGGGGAAAAAGGUAAAUUAUGCUUAUUGAUAUUCUUAAUAGUCAUACAAUCAUCAAUUCAUGAGACGUUUUUGCUUGUUAUUUUAUGAUUGCUUGUAACAAGCAAAUACUAUGUUUUAACUGGAACAUGGCCUGUUUCUCUGAGCGAAGGAUAUUGAAAAACGUUCUUAGCCUCACAUUGCCAUGAAUUAUAGAUUGUGUGGUAUUAUGACCAGGAAGCCAAGAAAAUUUAUCACUCGAAAACACUCUUGCCGCCGGAGCGGGAAUCCAAACCGUCGUCCCCAAUUUUCUGUUAGCUGACCCCGUAAAAAUGAGGUGGGCAAGGUGGGUCACGUUUCGAAAAUUGCUUGCAAUGAAACAGAUUUCAAACUUUAUGAGCUUCCUGUCAUCUUAUACCAUAGCUGACUACCGUGUACGCACCAAACUUUGCGCAGUUAAAAAAAUCAAACUUCGUGUCGUUCUUAUGAAUCCCUCAAGGAGUUCCUCGUGAAUACCUCCAAGAGUUCCUCGGGAAUUUCUCUAAGAGUUCAUCGGGAAUAAUCCUUCAGGAGUUCCUCAGGAGCUUGCUCGGGAGUUCCUCGGGAAUUCCUCCAGAAGUUCCUCAGAAUUUUUUUCAGGAAUUCCUCGGAUAUUCCUCCACUAGUUCCUCGAGAAUUUCUUCAAGGAGUUCCUCGCGAAUUCUCCAGGUGCUCCCAGAAAUAUCUGCAGCAUUUCUUCGGGAAUAUCUCCAGAAGUUUCUCGUGAAUUCCUCUUGGAGUUCCUUAAAAAUUUCUCCGGGAGCUUCUCAGGAAUUUCUCAAAAAAAUUUUUCGAGGAUUCAUCCAGGAGUUCCUAAAAAAUUUUCAUCAAGACUUCCUGUGAAAUUCCUUCCGGAGUUCCUCGGAAAUUCCUCCCGAAUUUCCUCGUGACUUCUUCCUGAAGUUCUUCGGGAACUCUAACUGGUGUUCUUCUGAAUUUCUCGGGAAUUCCUCCAGGAGUUCCUCGGGAAUUCC